CCAAAUCGACCUGGCCCUUCCCUUCCCCCCUUUUCUCCUUAAUCCAACGUUCAACGAUAAGCAAACUCAGCCUGAAAACAUCCUCCAAUCUCAACCAAAAUGACACCAAAUUCUCCUUUAUCCGUCAACUUCGUCAAUUUUCCUCCAUUGUCAUCCAAUUUGUGUGCGCUUAAUGAGUUCUCCGGUUCUAGAAAAAUCUAGAAACUAUCUAGGUGACUCUCUCAAUGGGAUUAUCUGGAGAUUCAUGGAAAAUUCAUCUGAUAAUCGUUCAAUUUAUACACUACGUGGAUGGUUGAUCGAUUAUGCCAUUUGAAUUUUAAAUUUUUAUCCUCAAUUCUUAUCCGUUUUUCCCACUAGAUUACCUCCUAAUUGCCAUCUAUAAAUACCUCUUUCCCCUCACUAAUUAUGGUCAAAUUGAUGGGAAAAAUUGUAGAUUUUUGAGGAGUAUUCCUCUAAUCUCACGUAAUCAAAUAUCCGUGGCAAAAAAAUACUUAGUUCCGGUGAAAUCACUCAAAUCCGACGAAGUUAAUUUGAAUUCCGGUGAAACUAAGUAAAACUUAGGUAGUGAAGUCAUGACUUGCAACGUUGUCCCAAGUUUCUACUCCGAAAAAGCUAUUUGAGAAGAAUGAGGAAAAAAACCGGAUAUGUAGGUGGAGGACCAAAAUAUGUGUAUACAUAACUGAUUUGGCCAUGCAUACACCAAGUAUACGUCAAGCAUAUAGAAAAUGUGAAGGAGCUGAUAAUAUACUACAAUUAUACACUGCAGAAAUGGAUCAAAGUCCAUAAACAUUCGGCCCAAGAGCUGGGUAGAUUCAAAAUGGGCUAAAUAUGGGGCUCAAACUUCAACUUUUCUUCAUUUAUUAUUGUACUAAUUCAUACUUGAUUUACGUAAUUUUAAUUAAUUCUUGAAUUUGGUUAAUCUAGAUAGAUUACCCAAGCAUUGUUAUUUUGGAUUUUAUCUUUAUUCUUCAUUUAUUCAAUAUUCAUCACUUUUA